GGCGCACGGGUGAGUAACGCGUAAGUAAUCUACCCCUGUAUCUGGAAUAACCCACCGAAAGGUGAGCUAAUACCGGAUACGUUUAUCUUGAUGCGAAUGAUGAUAAAGAAAGGUGGCCUCUUCAUGAAAGCUACCGUACAGGGACGAGCUUGCGUACCAUUAGCUGGUUGGUAGGGUAAUGGCCUACCAAGGCGACGAUGGUUAGCGGGUCUGAGAGGAUGAUCCGCCACACUGGAACUGAAACACGGACCAGACUCCUACGGGAGGCAGCAGUGAGGAAUAUUGCGCAAUGGGGGCAACCCUGACGCAGCGACGCCGCGUGGACGAUGAAGGCCCUUGGGUCGUAAAAUCCUGUCAGAUGGAAAGAAAUGUACAGGUGUUAAUAUCGCCUGUAUUUGACGGUACCAUCAAA
rnacentral:rRNA from 1 species